rnacentral:ncRNA from 1 species
AAGCCUCAAGUUAUGUGUGACAACCCCCUGAAUUUAAGCAUAUUAAUAAGGGGAGGAAAAGAAACCAACCGGGAUUCCCUGAGUAGCUGCGAGCGAAACGGGAGAAGCUCAGCACGUAGGGAUGGCGGCCCGCCCGUCUAUCCGAUUCCGUGUACUGGUACGUCUCACUAUCCGUCUUCCUAGUGGUACUCAAGUCCAACUUGAACGUGGCUUUGAACCCAUAGAGGGUGAUAGGCCCGUAGAACACCACCCAGCGGUUGAUGGACCGAGCGUACCAUGGAGUCGUGUUGCUUGAUAGUGCAGCACAAAGUGGGAGGUAAACUCCUUCUAAAGCUAAAUACGACCAUGAGACCGAUAGUAAACAAGUACCGUGUGGGAAAGUUGAAAAGCACUCUGAAUAGAGAGUCAAAUAGUACGUGAAACUGCCGUAGGGUGUAAAGCCUGUUGAACUCGAUUAUCCGUAGUUCCUGGCAUCGUGGGUUUUGGCUGUCACGCAGAAGGGGGCCUUCUGUAUGCCUUGACCCUAGCCAGGAACGAGUGCGGACAUCGUGAUCCAUUACGCAAACCAAAUGCGAGCGGCGACUCCGGUUGCUGCGAGCACAUCCAACAUCAGGUCCCAGAACAUGCGGUCGACCCUCUAGUAGUGGCGCUCAGCUUAAGGCCGGCGUCGCGAACGGGGGAUCGAGGCUCCCGGUCUCGAGUUCGGCUAGUUCCGGUGUGCCGUUGGAUGCGUGAUGGGCAUUGAAGUGAACUAGAGAAGUGUGAAGCGCAUGUUUGGGCAUGUUCAAGGGCGAAAGCCUGAGCCGAGCACGACUCCGGAUCUACGAUGUACUAACUAAUCGAGGUACCUACGGGACCCGUCUUGAAACACGGA